rnacentral:rRNA from 1 species
UGGGGAAUAUUGGACAAUGGGCGCAAGCCUGAUCCAGCCAUGCCGCGUGAGUGACGAAGGCCUUAGGGUUGUAAAGCUCUUUUUGGCGGGGAAGAUAUUGACGGUACCCGCAGAAUAAGCUCCGGCUAACUUCGUGCCAGCAGCCGCGGUAAUACGAAGGGAGCUAGCGUUGUUCGGAAUCACUGGGCGUAAAGCGCACGUAGGUGGGCAGUUAAGUCAGGGGUGAAAGCCCGAGGCUCAACCUCGGAAUUGCCUCUGAUACUGGCUGUCUAGAGUUCGAGAGAGGUGAGUGGAAUUCCUAGUGUAGAGGUGAAAUUCGUAGAUAUUAGGAAGAACACCAGUGGCGAAGGCGGCUCACUGGUCCGGUUCUGACGCUGAGGUGCGAAAGCGUGGGGAGCAAACAGGAUUAGAUACCCAGGUAGUCCCUGAGCGGGCUGGCAAGGCGCAU